GAUGAACGCUGGCGGCGUGCCUAAUACAUGCAAGUCGAGCGAACGGACGAGAAGCUUGCUUCUCUGAUGUUAGCGGCGGACGGGUGAGUAACACGUGGAUAACCUACCUAUAAGACUGGGAUAACUUCGGAAAACGGAGCCAAUACCGGAUAAUUUUUUUAACCGCAUGGUUCAAAAGUUAAAAACGGUCUUGCUGUUACCUAUUAAAGGAUCCGCGCUGCAUUAGCUAGUUGGUAAGGUAACGGCUUACCAAGGCAACGAUGCAUAGCCGACCUGAGAGGGUGAUCGGCCACACUGGAACUGAGACACGGUCCAGACUCCUACGGGAGGCAGCAGUAGGGAAUCUUCCGCAAUGGGCGAAAGCCUGACGGAGCAACGCCGCGUGAGUGAUGAAGGUCUUCGGAUCGUAAAACUCUGUUAUUAGGGAAGAACAUAUGUGUAAGUAACUGUGCACAUCUUGACGGUACCUAAUCAGAAAGCCACGGCUAACUACGUG
rnacentral:rRNA from 1 species